AUUUUAUCUUGUUAUGGAAGUAUUGUCCAUAAUUUUCUAAGUUGCUUGCGCUUCACUAUUGUAGGUUCAGGAAAGGUUUGAAGUAGACAUAAAAGAGCUUCCUGAGCAGAUUGAUACUUCUACAUACAUGCCAUCUUAGUGAGAUGAGAGUGCCCUGGCAGAUAUUGAAGUCAUUUUGCCUGAAGAUGGGGGGAACUGACAGAUGUUUGCUUUUGUUUAUCGCCUAUCUUUGCCUUUUGGACCUUCUAAUUUGAAGGAAUGGUGGCCUCCUACUAUAUGCUUUGACACUGCUGGACUGCUGUACCCUAGUUGAACCAUGCUGUUUCUCGUCAGUUAAGAGGAACAUGACAAAUGUCUGAGUGUUAUCUUGUUAAGCUCUAUAAUUUAUACUUCCCAAUGAUUUAUUAUGCCUAGUUUUUUAAUCAUAUUCUUGUUAGCUGUU